rnacentral:rRNA from 1 species
UACGUAGGGGGCAAGCGUUGUCCGGAUUCAUUGGGCGUAAAGGGUGCGUAGGCGGCGCGGUAAGUCGGGUGUGAAAUCUCAGAGCUUAACUCCGAAACUGCAUUCGAUACUGCCGUGCUUGAGGACUGGAGAGGAGACUGGAAUUUACGGUGUAGCGGUGAAAUGCGUAGAUAUCGUAAGGAAGACCAGUGGCGAAGGCGGGUCUCUGGACAGUUCCUGACGCUGAGGCACGAAGGCCAGGGGAGCAAACGGG